UUUCCGGUUGAUCCCGCCGGAGAUCACUGCUAUUGGAAUUCGGCUAAGGCAUGCGAGUCGAGAGGGUUCGGCCCUCGGCAAACGGCUCAGUAACACGUGGAUAAUCUGCCUUAGGUGGGGAAUAAUCUCGAGAAAUUGAGCAUAAUGCCCCAUAGCUUUAGAAUGCUGGAAUGCUUUUAAAGUUAAAGCCCCGGCGCCUAAGGAUGAGUCUGCGGCCUAUCAGGUUGUAGUGAGUGUAACGGACUCACUAGCCUACGACGGUUACGGGUCCUGGAAGGGAGUGCCCGGAGAUGGACUCUGAGACACGAGUCCAGGCCCUACGGGGCGCAGCAGCUACGAAAACUUCACAAUGCGGGAAACCGCGAUGAGGGAAUUCCAAGUGCUUAUACUUUGUAUAAGCUGUUUACUUGCCUAAAAAGCAGGUAGAGUAAGGGCUGGGUAAGACUGGUGCCAGCCGCCGCGGUAAUACCAGCAGCUCAAGUGGUGAUCGUUUUUAUUGGGCCUAAAGCGUCCGUAGCCUGUUUGGUAAACCUUUGGGUAAAUCGGGCAGCUUAACUGUCCGAAUUCUGAGGAGACUGCCAGACUUGGGACCGGGAGAGGUCAGAGGUACUCUUAGGGUAGGGGUGAAAUCCUGUAAUCCUAAGAGGACCACCAGUGGCGAAGGCGUUUGACUAGAACGGGUCUGACGGUAAGGGACGAAGCCCUGGGUCACGAACCGGAUUAGAUACCCGGGUAGUCCAGGGUGUAAACGCUGCGGGCUUGGUGUUGGGGGUCCUACGAGGGCAUCCAGUGCCGGAGAGAAGUUGUUAAGCCCGCCGCCUGGGGAGUACGAUCGCAAGAUUGAAACUUAAAGGAAUUGGCGGGGGAGCACAGCAGCGGGUGGAGCGUGCGGUUUAAUUGGAUUCAACGCCGGG
rnacentral:rRNA from 1 species